CUGAACAUUGAGCCUUGAUGUGUAGGAUAGGUGGGAGGCUUUGAAGUGUGGACGCCAGUCUGCAUGGAGCCGACCUUGAAAUACCACCCUUUAAUGUUUGAUGUUCUAACGUGGACCCGUAAUCCGGGUUGCGGACAGUGUCUGGUGGGUAGUUUGACUGGGGCGGUCUCCUCCUAAAGAGUAACGGAGGAGCACGAAGGUUGGCUAAUCCUGGUCGGACAUCAGGAGGUUAGUGCAAUGGCAUAAGCCAGCUUGACUGCGAGCGUGACGGCGCGAGCAGGUGCGAAAGCAGGUCAUAGUGAUCCGGUGGUUCUGAAUGGAAGGGCCAUCGCUCAACGGAUAAAAGGUACUCCGGGGAUAACAGGCUGAUACCGCCCAAGAGUUCAUAUCGACGGCGGUGUUUGGCACCUCGAUGUCGGCUCAUCACAUCCUGGGGCUGAAGUAGGUCCCAAGGGUAUGGCUGUUCGCCAUUUAAAGUGGUACGCGAGCUGGGUUUAGAACGUCGUGAGACAGUUCGGUCCCUA
rnacentral:rRNA from 1 species